CACCGUGCCUACCUACAGCUCCAACAACCCUCCGCACAGCGAAGUUUGAUGCUAGCCUACGAACAACAUGAAUGUUUGUCUGAGGCGGUGCAACUCGAGUUUCGCCAUCAGGUGGAAGACUGUCUCCUCUCUCUGGUCAGUCUCAACUGAAGGAGAGAACAACGUCCAUGAGAGGCGGACACUGCUGGUCUCUGCCUCCCUCCACUGAGACUAAUGCUGUGUUCAAAAUAACUGGGAACUCCGACGUCAGAGCUUCAAGACAACUGGGAACUUGGAUGUUUACAAUCCAAAUGAUUGCACAAUGGCAGGUUUGAAUGAAAGACUGUCUGGGUUACAAGCAUGACCAGUUUGGAAUUUUGUACUAAGAGUUGUGAAAAUGUACGAAAUAGUUGUGGAAAUAGUACCAAAGCGAUUAAAAAAAACGCGGUGGUGUACAACGUUCAUAUGAUGAGAUGAAACGUGAGGGGCGGGGGCACCAUCGGACACGACAACGGAGCCGUCGGCGCUGGCUGGUACUGAAAAAAGGUUCUCUCUGUUUUGUUGUUGUUAUCUCCUUUUCAUGUUGCAGUAUUGUACAUUUCAUCAUCUACAUGUGCCUCUUAUCUACUGGUGUGUGUUAGUGUGUCCAUUUUAGAUCCUGUAUGUACAGUCUGUCUCGCACUGCUGGUAUGAACUGCUAAAAAUCAAACCAACAUAUUCUGUUGGCUUUUGCGAUACGGCUUUCACUACACAGGCUUGACACGCCGGGGCAGCUUGUACACGACCCAAAGCCUGCCUGGCCUCACGUGCAAUGAGACUGUAAUCCAUCACCAGGAAGACAAAAGGCUAGGGGAGAGGACUAACAAAUCAACUCCAAAAUCUCCCGAAACCAGAAAAGGUGGACUGUUGGGCAUGGGCCUAGCAACCCCAAGACCUGCUCCUUGUAGUCGGAGACCUGAAUGCAAAGGUUGGAACCAACAACACUAGAGGUCGACCGAUUAUGAUUUUUCAACGUCGAUACCGAUUAAUCCGCCGAUUAUUUUUAUAAUGACAAUUACAACAAUACUGAAUGAACACUUAUUUUAACUUAAUAUAAUACAUCAAUAAAAUCAAUUUA